CCGGCGGGGCGGCGGAGCGGCGGCGGAAGCGGCGGGGCUGGGGGAGCUGGGCCCGGCGGCGGCGGUCUCGGCUGGCGGCGGCGGCUGGCGGCGGCUCAUGGACCCGGAGAGCCACAAACAUCAUCUACCUCCAAACCAACUCUGUGAUGGUCUCCAACCUGCAGGUGCACCUGAUGCCAGCACAGAAGCAGCUGAAGGCAGAGAUUUGACAGCCCCAUCCAGAGAACCUGCACCUUUACAAAAUCACUCCAGGGUGAGGAUUUUUUGCCUUUUCUGUAACUGAAUCAUCCCUUGUGGCGAUACGUGACUGUUGCCUCUUCUGUUCGCUGUGCCUGUCAGACACAGGUCUGCUCCUGUCCUCUCCAUACCCCUGAAGAGUCCAUGGAAGAGUGCUGCCAGACUUCCAUCACCUCUCUCUGGCCUGACCAGGCUGUUCCCUCUGCUUUCUUGAACCAUUAAAACACUUACACUGAGCAGAAUGGCUUUGCAAGUGAUUUUAACUCUGCUUGCGUUCUUAAGGGAGAGUAGCAGCUGAAACCACCUUAACAAGGAGAUGUGCUAGAAAGUCUUUUGUGCUGAAAAAAGGAAAAAAAAAGUUCAAAUUGUAAUACGUGGACUGAAAAACAUAUCGGUUUCACAUACUAACCAUGCCAUGUGUAAAGCUAGUCUACCGUUUCCUAGACAAUGAGGCUUCAGCAAUGACUGUACCAUCAACAAAAUUAAAUCCCAACCUCUAUUCCAGGAAGCAAACAAAGUUGUUAUUGCAGAUAAAUUUAAUUUGAGAACUUAAAAAUGCAAACAACUAAAUAAUACCAUCAUAUUCUAUUUGAGCAAAACAAAACAACAGUAAACUUCUGACCUUUUUGACAAAAAGCACACAUCUUGCAUAAGUGUUUCCAAGUCUGGGCUUCUUUUGCCUGUGUUAUUUUUAUUCCUAGGUUAAACCUAACAGUUGUGCUCAGUAAUCAUUAUGCAGUCAGCUUGAGCUGUUCUGAAGUGCUACCAGCAUCAGUAGAACUUGAGUUUUAUGUUGUUUUGGAGUUUUUUUCCAUAUUUGUCAUACAAACAACUCUGGGUAUACACUUGAAGUUAUUCUCAGCAAAAUUUUUCUCCAAAAUUCUCAGGUAGAAAAAGGACAAUUUUUAGGCCAUUGUUAAGGAUACACUUUCAUUUUUUUACAUCCAACAGCAAAAUGAAGCUUGUUUUAUGUAUAAUUCCAAGACUAAAAAUAUUUAUCAUACUUUUUCUAAAAAU